rnacentral:rRNA from 1 species
CAGCAGCCGCGGUAAUACGGAGGAUCCAAGCGUUAUCCGGAAUCAUUGGGUUUAAAGGGUCCGUAGGCGGUCUUGUAAGUCAGUGGUGAAAGCCCAUCGCUCAACGGUGGAACGGCCAUUGAUACUGCAGGACUUGAAUUAUUGGGAAGUAACUAGAAUAUGUAGUGUAGCGGUGAAAUGCUUAGAGAUUACAUGGAAUACCAAUUUCGAAGGCAGGUUACUACCAAUUGAUUGACGCUGAUGGACGAAAGCGUGGGUAGCGAACAGGAUUAGAUACCCCCGUAGUCCCUGUCUCUUAUAC